GUCGAGAAUCUUUCACAAUGGGGGCAACCCUGAUGGAGCGACGCCGCGUGGAGGAUAAGGUCUUCGGAUUGUAAACUCCUGUCAUGCGUGAACAAGGUUGCUUGGUUAAUACCUGGGCAAAUUGAUGGUAACGCAAGAGGAAGAGACGGCUAACUCUGUGCCAGCAGCCGCGGUAAUACAGAGGUCUCAAGCGUUGUUCGGAAUCACUGGGCGUAAAGGGUGCGUAGGUGGCGGGGUAAGUCAGAUGUGAAAGCCCGGGGCUCAACCUCGGAACUGCAUCCGAUGCUGCCAUGCUAGAGUACUGGAGAGGUGACUAGAAUUCUCGGUGUAGCAGUGAAAUGCGUAGAUAUCGAGAGGAAUACCAAAGGCGUAGGCAGGUCACUGGACAGUUACUGACACUGAGGCACGAAGGCCAGGGGAGCGAACGGGAUUAGAAACCCGAGUAGUCC
rnacentral:rRNA from 1 species